rnacentral:rRNA from 1 species
AGACCCGAAACCCGGUGAUCUAGCCAUGGGCAGGUUGAAGGUUGGGUAACACUAACUGGAGGACCGAACCGACUAAUGUUGAAAAAUUAGCGGAUGACCUGUGGCUGGGGGUGAAAGGCCAAUCAAACCGGGAGAUAGCUGGUUCUCCCCGAAAGCUAUUUAGGUAGCGCCUCGUGAAUUCAUCUCCGGGGGUAGAGCACUGUUUCGGCUAGGGGGCCAUCCCGGCUUACCAACCCGAUGCAAACUGCGAAUACCGGAGAAUGUUAUCACGGGAGACACACGGCGGGUGCUAACGUCCGUCGUGAAGAGGGAAACAACCCAGACCGCCAGCUAAGGUCCCAAAGUCAUGGUUAAGUGGGAAACGAUGUGGGAAGGCCCAGACAGCCAGGAUGUUGGCUUAGAAGCAGCCAUCAUUUAAAGAAAGCGUAAUAGCUCACUGGUCGAGUCGGCCUGCGCGGAAGAUGUAACGGGGCUAAACCAUGCACCGAAGCUGCGGCAGCGACACUGUGUGUUGUUGGGUAGGGGAGCGUUCUGUAAGCCUGUGAAGGUGGCCUGUGAGGGUUGCUGGAGGUAUCAGAAGUGCGAAUGCUGACAUAAGUAACGAUAAAGCGGGUGAAAAGCCCGCUCGCCGGAAGACCAAGGGUUCCUGUCCAACGUUAAUCGGGGCAGGGUGAGUCGACCCCUAAGGCGAGGCCGAAAGGCGUAGUCGAUGGGAAACGGGUUAAUAUUCCCGUACUUGGUGUUACUGCGAAGGGGGGACGGAGAAGGCUAUGUUGGCCGGGCGACGGUUGUCCCGGUUUAAGCGUGUAGGUGUGUGUUCCAGGUAAAUCCGGUUCACUUUAACACUGAGGCGUGACGACGAGGCACUACGGUGCUGAAGCAACAAAUGCCCUGCUUCCAGGAAAAGCCUCUAAGCAUCAGGUAACAUCAAAUCGUACCCCAAACCGACACAGGUGGUCAGGUAGAGAAUACCAAGGCGCUUGAGAGAACUCGGGUGAAGGAACUAGGCAAAAUGGUGCCGUAACUUCGGGAGAAGGCACGCUGACACGUAGGUGAAGUGAUUUACUCAUGGAGCUGAAGUCAGUCGAAGAUACCAGCUGGCUGCAACUGUUUAUUAAAAACACAGCACUGUGCAAACACGAAAGUGGACGUAUACGGUGUGACGCCUGCCCGGUGCCGGAAGGUUAAUUGAUGGGGUCAGCGCAAGCGAAGCUCCUGAUCGAAGCCCCGGUAAACGGCGGCCGUAACUAUAACGGUCCUAAGGUAGCGAAAUUCCUUGUCGGGUAAGUUCCGACCUGCACGAAUGGCGUAAUGAUGGCCAGGCUGUCUCCACCCGAGACUCAGUGAAAUUGAACUCGCUGUGAAGAUGCAGUGUACCCGCGGCAAGACGGAAAGACCCCGUGAACCUUUACUAUAGCUUGACACUGAACAUUGAGCCUUGAUGUGUAGGAUAGGUGGGAGGCUUUGAAGUGUGGACGCCAGUCU